rnacentral:misc_RNA from 1 species
GUUUACCUGUAUCCCCCUCAAGCCAGCUUUCUCAUUUUGUGUCUGUGGGUGUAAAUGGUGUCACCUUUUUUUCAUUAGAGAGUGUUAAAAGUCACGCAUGGAACUAAUAAUUGUCUCAUAUUUGUCUGUAAAGUGCUGUCAUUUCAAAAUAUUCUAUUUUUUCUUAAAAUAUUUUAAAAAAUAUUAACAUGUGAUAGAAGACAUGCCCCAUUACUGUUUGUGUGUGUAUGUAUGUGAGUGUGUGUGUGUACAUGUGUAUGGUUGAGUGUGUAUGUGUGUGUUGUCCUCCAAACAUAAUGCUGCAUCAUCUAUCCAAUGGCAGAAGUGUGGAUUUUAUGACCAGCCAGUCGUUAAUAUAGACACAGCAUCAUUGAACGUAGUGGGCAGAUACCUUCAUUUUGUAACACCAUAAUUCGGUAGUCCUUUAUCAUCCUCUCAUUGACUGUAUCAUUCAGGUGUAACCUCAAAGAUGAUAAGCAUAUUACAUCAUUCUGUGUAUGAGUAAAGGGAAUUUAUUUCUGUUUGGUCGGGUUAGAGAGUUAUUGGGUAAGAGAGUUAUUGGGUAAGAGAGUUAUCGGGUUAGAGAAUUAUUGGGUAAGAGAGUUAUCUGGUUAGAGAGUUAUUGGGUAAGAGAGUUAUCGGGUUAGAGAGUUAUCAGGUAAGAGAGUUAUCGGUCUGUGUUUUCGGUGUACGCUGUGCAAUAUCUGUUAUCAUGUGUUAUGUUUUUUGUCCGACAGCUGACAGUAUGUUGUCAUUCUCAGUCUUAAAUAAAUACUCAAAGAAAAUAC